rnacentral:rRNA from 1 species
AUUGAACGCUAGCGGCAGGCCUAAUACAUGCAAGUCGAACGGUGUCUUCGGACAUAGUGGCGCACGGGUGCGUAACACGUAUGCAACCUACCUUACAUUGGGGGAUAGCCUUUCGAAAGGGAGAUUAAUACCGCAUAAGACAGUAGCUGGGCAUCCAGCAGCUGUUAAAGAUUUAUCGAUGUAAGCUGGGCAUGCGUCCAAUUAGCUAGUUGGUGAGGUAACGGCUCACCAAGGCAAUGAUUGGUAGGGGAACUGAGAGGUCAAUCCCCCACACUGGCACUGAGAUUCAGGCCAGACGCAUAAGGGAGGCAGCAGUAGGGAAUAUGUGGCAAUGGACUAAAGUCUGACCCAGCCAUGCCGCGUGCAGGAUGUAGGCGUUAUGCGUUAUAAACUGCUUUUAUACAGGAAGAAACGACUCUUGCGAGAGGCAUUGACGGUACUGUAUGAAUAAGCACCGGCUAACUCCGUGCCAGCCGCCGCCGUAA